GGAAUUUAAUUAAGUAUCAAGCCAAGUUUGAUUAGUUCGGGCGUCAAAUUGUAAUUAAUUGCUGUUAAUAUUUACCAAAAAAAUCAAGCAAGUAAGUCAGGAAGAAAUCUUACCGACCGCCCAAAAAAGUCUCCCAGUGUGUAAAUAACAAUACCAUUCAUCGGGAUGCCGACCAAACCGUAGAAAAUCAUAAACACCCUGGUAAAGAGUGUGGUAGGAGCCAGAUUUCCAUAGCCUAAGGAAGAAAACAGCAAAUCAAAACAUGUUACAACAUGUCGAGUAUGUUUUCUUACCGAUGGUACUGACAACGGUUAUCACAAAAAACAGCGAAUGGUAAAAGUCCCACUUAUACUCCACUGGUCCUUCGCUCAUAUUGACAUCCAGAGGUUUUCCACAGUACUGAGUUAAGCUGAUGUGAAGCAUAAACAAAAGGAGAUGUAUUUAUUUAGCGGUUAAAUAUGUCUAAAUGCAAGCAAGGACAUUAUAACAGGAGUGCAGAAUUGAUAACAAAACAAUUAGGUACUUUACACAGUUAUCAUUCUCGAUAUGUUCAAAGUAUUUGCGCUAUGUUUUUUUGCUUUUUUCCAGUCUAUUAUAGAAUAAGUGAGCACCUCUAAUGACCACAUUCCUCGUACAUUUCUAAUGUAAAAUGGUACGAUUCUACUACCUUACAUUUCAACGUAUUCUCCAUGAAAAAUUCCAGUGCGCCAUUUAUGGUUCUUGAAGCAAAAUUCGUCAAAGAUACGUCUAUAAUGCAAAGAGGUAACAGUGAGGGUCAAAGAUUUCAAGAUUCUUGAUCUAGUUCACCGACUGCCAUUAGAAACGAAACAAGUAUUGCUGCUGUUGUCGCUUUUUUAUUUAUCACUUUGACGACAUUAUAUUUCAUUGCAUUCAAGUUGUAAAUUGCUGGGAAGGUUGUCCGGUAAAAAUUAAAUACAUUUUUAAUGGG